ensembl:miRNA
GGUAAGUGGAAAGAUGGUGGGCUGCAGAACACGUGUGUUUCUGAUAUCAUAUGUCUGCUGGCCAUCAUCUUUAAGAGUCUC